rnacentral:rRNA from 1 species
UAGCAUAUCAAUAAGCGGAGGAAAAGAAACCAACAGGGAUUGCCCCAGUAACGGCGAGUGAAGCGGCAACAGCUCAAAUUUGAAAUCUGGCCCUCGGGUCCGAGUUGUAAUUUGUAGAGGAUGCUUUUGGCGCGGUGCCUUCCGAGUUCCCUGGAACGGGACGCCUUAGAGGGUGAGAGCCCCGUACGGUUGGACACCAAGCCUCUGUAAAGCUCCUUCGACGAGUCGAGUAGUUUGGGAAUGCUGCUCUAAAUGGGAGGUAAAUUUCUUCUAAAGCUAAAUAUUGGCCAGAGACCGAUAGCGCACAAGUAGAGUGAUCGAAAGAUGAAAAGCACUUUGAAAAGAGGGUUAAAUAGCACGUGAAAUUGUUGAAAGGGAAGCGUUUGCGACCAGACCUCUCCCCGGCGGAUCAUCCGGCGUUCUCGCCGGUGCACUCCGCCGGGCUGAGGCCAGCAUCGGUUCCCGCGGGGGGACAAAAGCGGGGGGAACGUAGCUCCCUCGGGAGUGUUAUAGCCCUCCGCAUAAUACCCUCGCGGGGACCGAGGACCGCGCUUCGGCAAGGAUGCUGGCGUAAUGGUCGUCAACGACCCGUCUUGAAACACGGACCAAGGAGUCGAACAUUUGUGCGAGUGUUUGGGUGUCAAACCCUCACGCGUAAUGAAGGUGAACGUAGGUGAGAGCCCUCGCGGGCGCAUCAUCGACCGAUCCUGAUGUCUUCGGAUGGAUUUGAGUAAGAGCAUAACUGUUCGGACCCGAAAGAUGGUGAACUAUGCGUGGAUAGGGUGAAGCCAGAGGAAACUCUGGUGGAGGCUCGCAGCGGUUCUGACGUGCAAAUCGAUCGUCAAAUCUGCGCAUGGGGGCGAAAGACUUAUCGAACCAUCUAGUAGCUGGUUACCGCC